UGAUGGUGUGCAUGCAGAGGGCUAAGCAUGAAUUUCAGAAAAUUUUUAUGCGGAAAGAACGGGUUAAACAUUUUAACCCAAAACAUGCUUGAUAUUUUAGAUAUUUUAACUCUGGUACCAGUCGAAGACAGUCUUCAACUGCACAUCGCAUGUGGCGCGGGCUCAGUCCCAAUACAUAGGGUGACACCCGCGCGUGCCUAUCAAAGCACUCAUCAUAUGAGCCCCCGGGUGGAGAGCCACGCUUCGUCACACGAUCACGCGUGAGAGUUCCCGGGAAUCGGAUAGUCUCCACUAAUCCUUUGCUUUGACACCAAAUAUCACAAAGCCCUCAGAUUCCGAGGAUUGUGUGAUUCAAAUAAAUAUGCAUAAAUCACAACUUCUUGUGAUUUGAAGAUUGAGAUCAUAUUUCAACCGUAAAAGAGAUCAGAU
rnacentral:lncRNA from 1 species